GCAAGAGUGGCACAGUGGUUUGAGCACUGGACUAAGACCCUGGAUACCAGGGGUCAAAUCCCAGCUCAACCA